rnacentral:rRNA from 1 species
UGAGGAAUAUUGGGCAAUGGGCGAAAGCCUGACCCAGCAACGCCGCGUGAAGGAAGACGGUUUUCGGAUUGUAAACUUCUUUUGAGAGGGACGAUAAUGACGGUACCUCUUGAAUAAGCCACGGCUAACUACGUGCC